UUUUUUCACACGGUCCCAAUUAACCAAAAAACAAAGAAAAAAACCGACCAGUCGGUCCCCGAUUCCCCUCUCUCUCUCUUGUUUCUCUGUGUUUACCCCCAGACUAAAAAAUGUGUUAUCAUCCUCUCUCCUUCUCUCUCAUUAUUUCCUUCUUUUUUUCUUCUUUUUCUUGUAUUCUUUUUUAAUUGUCUAUGUCUCAUAAUUCAGAUCUCUCUUUCUCUUUCUCUUUUUUUUUCUUCUCCUUUUUCCUCAUCGUUCUCUCUCCUCUCUCUUGGAUCUCUUUCUCCCACCAUACCUCUCUCCUUCACUCUUUCUCUCUCGCCUGUGUCUUUGUGGAGCCCGACUGCCACCUUCCCCUACACGCGCCGGCUAGGGAUCUGCAGAGGCCGUCGAAGCUUCAACCCACGCAGGCCAUCGUGGUUCCCCUGAUUGAUCUUCUUUUGCAGUGUAAGGGCUCCUCUUUGGGAAACUUACUUCUGUCAAGUUACAGACACUCACUCAUCAGGAGAAGCUUGCUUUCUGGAUCAAUAUCUAUAAUUCUUGCAUGAUGAACGCAUUCCUGGACCAUGGAAUACCAGAGAGUCCUGAAAUGGUUGUUGCCCUGAUGCAAAAGAGUCCAGAUGGUGAAAUUAUAGAUUGUGUUUUGUCUCAUCAACAACCAGCUUUUGACCAUCCUCAGUUGAAGGGACGAAAGCCAUUGGAAUAGGCCAAAAACUCAUAAAGAUCAUCCUAAUAGUACUAUGAUGAGGACUCGGGAGCUACCAAAAUAUUGAGUAUACUAACAGAAGCAAUAGCAAUUGGAAGAACAUUUGCAGCCAUGAAGGACUAUCAAAUUGAUGGCAACAAAGAAAUUGUGGCAUUAGGAACAAUGAACAUUAUUGGUUCUUUGACCUCUUGUUAUGUAGCUACAGGUGAUCCAGGAAUAGUCACUAAAAAUUAAUAAAAUUUGACACACAUAUAUUAUGUAUUGGUAAAAUUAUUAAUAGUUGGUACAGCAAUUAACUAAUACACAAUGAUUACCAAAUAUUAUAGGUUUCUUCAAGUUUAAUUUGGUUUCUUUCUGUUUGUAAGGAAAGAGUGUUUCUUCAUAGCCUUCUGGACUAAGUUAAGGAGAAGAAGGAACCAAGAACCGGCCACAGUAAGAGAUCUAUGCUACUAUAAAGACUGGGUCCAUAGCCAUUGUAGCAUCAACACUAGAUUCUUUGUUGGAUCUCAUGGCUGGUGGCAUACUUUGGUUCACUCACUUGUCAAUGAAAAGUAUAAAUAUUUAUAGAUACCCCAUUGGAAAAUUAAGGGUGCAACCUGUGGCAUAAUCAUUUUUGCUGCUAUCAUGACGACACUAGCUACAAUCUGUAGCUUAAUUUGUUGAUAGUUUUCACAGAUUUUUCUCUUUCUUGCUUCAUAUCUACAUUGAAGGCUGUUUGGCUUCCUUAGUGAGCACAUAUAUCAUCUAGUGUAUUUUACUCUGUUUGUUACAGAGUAGAUAAAUUCAUGAGUCUAGGAUGAAACAAGGAAAAAAUAAAGCUUAUUGAGUGACUUUGUUUUAUUAAAUUUGUCUAAAGAAGACGUGUUAUUUGACUCUAGAAAUUUUCUUUGGUCAUUUUCUGCCGGAAAUCUCUAAAGUAUAUGCUCAUGAUUGCCAACUACAGACACUUAAUAAGGUACUUAUUUUAUUUUAUUAUUUUUCAUGUACUUAUUUCUUUAUUUC